rnacentral:lncRNA from 1 species
UCCAUCUUCAAUUUUAAGAGAAAUAAAUUAAAAUUUAUCUCUCAUUAUAUAUCUUGAGUAUUCAUUGUCUAGAUACCAUUUUCUUUGUGUCUCAAGGGAUGCCAAGCACACCUGCAAAAUAAAGAUCAACUCCUUUUAAGUAUCCAAGCUUUCUUGGAUCCUUUGAGGUUAGUUAGAAUAAUGAUUCCUUUUGGAACCUA